UGGGGGCUCUGCAUGGCCCCAGGAGCAGGGCCGUGUCGUCCCCGGCAGCAGGCAGGAAACGGGCCACUUACCAGCGCGUCCCUCUUCGCCACGGAUCCCGCCAUCUUGUUGAAUCGGUGCAGUGGUGGAGGCGCCGGCGGCCGGUUUAUAGACUGACUGGUCUUGCCGCCGUGGGUUUAUGAAAUUGCUGUCAAGAUGUGAGGUGUUUGCCGGUUUCAUGGAAGCUUCGCCUGGUUUCAGGGUGGAAAGGAACUAGGGUCCAUAUUUAGUAGCAACCUGGAGUGCCUGAGCAAUGAAAAGGCAUCCAGUCUUGAUUUGAAGACUUCAGGAGAUGGAGAACCCACUGAGUACUGGUAUGAUAGGUAUGGAAGACAUCAAAACGAUACGCAUUUAUAUCAUUAUUGAGCAGAAAAUUUGCCUUCAGUUCUUAUUCACGACACAGGAGGUGAUGGAGGGGUGGUGGUGUGUGUGGGGGACAGUACAUUGUUGUAAAGUGGCCUCAACAUUUCUGCUUUCCACUGGAGCUGAAUAGCAUCAAGAUGUUGCUACAGAAGGAGAAUGUGUGCUGCUGAAGGGGCCCGGAACCUAGCUCAUUGCCUUGGGUUUUUCCUGUUGUACUGGUACCUCAGUGGAGUGUACUGGAAUGAGCAAUCCUGGUGUAGUGUUAUACGGGGCCUGAUUCUCCUUUCCCUUCACUGCUGUUGCUGUUAUAUUAGGGUUUGUUUACAGGGGAUACUCAGGAAAGUUAAUCUGCAUUAACUAAAGGUGUGAAUUUACAGUGGAUUAGUUAAACUGCAUUAAAUCCCCAUGUGGAUACUGUCAUUCAGAAUUAAAGUGGCCUUCAUUCAAUUUAGUUGAAUUUACUUCCAAGGUGUAAAGCUGGAUGAUAAUGAGGCACACCCAAUAUGAAUUGCAGUCAGGCCCAUGGUCCAGCCUGUCUCCUACAGUGUCCAGUACCAGCAGCUUCAGAGAAAACGCUGUUUGCUUAGAUAAACGUUGUGUAUAAAUGUAGGCAGCAUUGUAAGAGCUUGGAUGUGAGUGGAACUACUCUUCCUCAGGACAGUGCUGGGUUCCCUAGCCUCUCCCUUCUGCGUGUCAUGGUUGAGGUGAAUUGGGUAAGUGACCUCUCCACACAUCACAUACCAUUUGGUGUGUUCAUAGACACACCCUCCCACACUCACCCCAAGCAAUGCAAUUGACGGAGCAGCAGAACAAACAGAACAGGACGGUAUUUAACAUGGCUGUGUAUUGUCGUGCGUUAAUUGUGUUCCUUUCUGACAGACUGAUGAAGGAGUCCAGGAUCCACCCCAGCACCAGCUGUUUGUUUUUCAUCAUUGGCUGACAUAUUAUUUAUACAAAGUGUUUUAUAAUUUCAGAUUAAAAGGAUCAUUUAUUUCA